rnacentral:rRNA from 1 species
GCUUAUGGCCAUACCACCCUGAACACGCCCGCUCUCGUUUGAUCUCGGAAGCAUAGAAAGGGGCAGGGCCUGGUCAGUACCUGGAUGGAAGACCGCCUGGGAAUACCAGGCGCUGUAAGCU